UACAGAGGGUGCGAGCGUUGUUCGGAAUCAUUGGGCGUAAAGGGCGUGUAGGCGGUUUGUUAAGUCAUGUGUGAAAUCCCUCGGCUCAACCGGGGAACGACGCAUGAAACUGGCAAGCUAGAGUACCAAAGAGGGGGGUGGAAUUCCCGGUGUAGCGGUGAAAUGCGUAGAUAUCGGGAGGAACAUCAGUGGCGAAGGCGGCCAUCUGGGACAACACUGACGCUGAAGCACGAAAGCGUGGGGAGCAAACAGG
rnacentral:rRNA from 1 species